rnacentral:rRNA from 1 species
CCUUCGGGUGGCAGCAGUGAGGAAUAUUGGUCAAUGGGCGCGAGCCUGAACCAGCCAAGUAGCGUGAAGGAUGACUGCCCUACGGGUUGUAAACUUCUUUUAUAAAGGAAUAAAGUGAGGCACGUGUGCCUUUUGUAUGUACUUUAUGAAUAAGGAUCGGCUAACUCCGUGCCAGCAGCCGCGGUAAUACGGAGGAUCCGAGCGUUAUCCGGAUUUAUUGGGUUUAAAGGGAGCGUAGAUGGGUUGUUAAGUCAGUUGUGAAAGUUUGCGGCUCAACCGUAAAAUUGCAAUUGAUACUGGCAGCCUUGAGUACAGGUGAGGUAAGCGGAAUUCCUGGUGUAGCGGUGAAAUGCGUAGAUAUCACGAAGAACACCGAUUGCGAAGGCAGACUACUAAACUGCCACUGACAUUGAUGCUCGAAAGUGUGGGUAUCAAACAGGAUUAGAUACUCGAGUAGUC